rnacentral:miRNA from 1 species
CAUAUCCCUAUCCUGAACGACCCC